UGGAAAAUAAAGCCAGCCCGGGAAUCCGACCCGGGAGAGACCGAGAACCGAAGCAGGAAGGCGAAGAGGAGGGCCGCGUCGCUCAGAGAAAGUUUCCUGUGUAUGGUAUUUCAAUAGGAGACAGCUGGUGUCGUGGAAAAGCUCACUGGGCCAGAAUCAUGAGGUCUGGGUUUAAGCUCUGGCUUUGCUGUUAACCUUAGGAAUCUUACAUUGAAAGAACUGAAAAUGGAUGGUACUUUCCAAAUAUUCUGGAACAUGAGAUGGUAGCAAAGUCCAAAGAGUAAAGCAAGGUUGGUCUUCAAAAUAGAGAUUGCAGAGGAAUUCACCAUUGGGAGAAGGGGACUUCAGGGACAGAAGGAAAAGGAAACUGAAUCAUGGUAGCAAGCAUUCACUCUCUAAGAAUCAAGAACUCAAAUGGAAACAUUUUUUUUGUCAUCACUUGGCCAAUCAAUCUGUCAAUAACAUUCAUUGACUAUCCCAUAUGUAAUUUACUGUACAUGCCUCCAUGCAGGUAAGGUAUUUACAGUCUCUCUUCUAUCUAGUGGCAUUGAACUGGUCAUGUGAAUCCACAGAUGGAAAAUUUUAAACAGUUACCUAAUGCCUACCAUGUAAAGUUCAAGCUCCUGUGCCUGGUGUUUAAGACCCUCCAUAAUAUUACUUCCUAACUGCUACUACAUGCUCUAACUAAAAUGUAAUGCUUGGCCCAUGCUUUUCCACCUUUUAUUCAUACCUUUUCUCUAUGUUCAGUAAUGUCUUCCUUCCCUUGCUCUUUAAAGACCAAUUCAAAUGAUAACCCCCUCCAUGAACCUUACUACUUAUUCAUCAUAUAGCCCUUUGUUUGGUGUGUCUCCCUUCAUAUUUUUAUAGUAUUAUAUACUGUGAUGAUAGAAGGAACAAGAGAAUUCCUUGAUCUGCUUGGCUAGGAAGGACACCUCCCAGGAAGAUGAGUGAGUAUAUAUUAAUGGCAUAUAAUUUGACCAGAUGAGUCUGAAAUAGGACCUUAAGCUUCCUUUUUUGUGUGUGUUUCUUUCCUGAGCAUGGGUCUGAGCCCAUCAAAUAAGCUGUUUCUAUCCUUGGCAAUCUGGAGUUAUAGAGAUCAAGAGUUUCUGGAUUGGGUGCAGGCUUCCUAGCUGGAAAUAGAAGAUAUUCUGUAAUACUUUCUAAGAAAAGAGCACCACCACCAGGUUGAAACUGAAAGAAGUAAGAAUUCCCUAGCCAUAACCUGGUUGGCUCUGAGAUCCAAAUUGUCAAAUAGACAAGUGUGAAGUGAAAGAGAAAUAUCUAUUUUUAAGCCCCACAAAGUUGUCUUAUCUCCAUGGAGAGUAUAAUAAGUAUGAUGGGUUAUUAUUUUAUGUUUUAAGUAUUUCUUAAUUUAUGCUUCUUAGUCUUUUUUAAGCAUUGCUUUUUUGUUGUAGGAAAUAAAUAGCUUUCCUAGAUUUGAAAUCUACUUUGUAAAAUAAGAAAUUUUUUGGAAGAUAUCUCAUUAUUCCUUUUUGGGAAGAUCUUAGAUGUAAGGCAUACCUAACCUUAAUUUUAAAUUAUAUUCCAGAAUAAGGGCACAAUAUAGUAGUCAAAUUGUAAAAUUCCUGACUUCCCUCUUUGGAGUUAGGCUUCUUGCCAGAUGAAUUUGAGCUCCAUAUAAAUGCAGAACAAAUGCCACUUUGUGGGAAGACCUCACCUGGACCCCAACCCCAGGCUACAAGGUGAGAAGAGUUAUCUGUAUUUGUUUUCAUUUCUCCCACUGGACUACAAGCUUCUUUAAAUAAAUGAUUGUUGUUACCCAAAUUUUCUCUUCUCCUGCUCCUAAACUAUUUCAGUGCUCUACACAGAAUAUACUUAAUAAACAUUUGCAGAAUGAAUUAUGUAUAACAUACUAUUACUUAUAACUCUGGCUUAGAAUUGAUACUAAGUAUUGGUUCCAAGGCAGAAUUGGGGAAGGGCUAAACAUUGGAGAUUAAGUGAUUUAUCCAGUGUCACACACCUAUGAAGUGCCUAAAGCCAAAUUUAAUCCCAGGAUCUUCUUUCUCCAUGCCUGCCUAUCUAUAUCCUGAGUAAUUUAGCAGCCCCUGCUUACCCCUCUUUUUUUCAUUGUUGUUAUAUUAAUAUAUAAUAUAAUAUGUAGCAUAACAAUAAUAUAAUACAUGAUUUCUUAUAAAUAUGAAGAGAAACAAAUUCUCACAUUAGCUAUGUCCAACAAUCUGUCUUAUUUUUUUUUCCUCCUACUUCUCCCUCCCCAAGAAGGCAAAAUAUAAUAUAGGUUGUACAUAUAUUAUUGUAUGAUACAUAUUGCUCUGUUCAUCAUGUUAUGAAACAAGGUACAUAUUGCCUACACUAGAGAAAAAUUCAUGGAGGAAAUAAAAUGAAGAAGGGUAUAUUCCAAUCUGCAUUCAGACUCCAUCUGUUCUUUCUAUGAAGGGAGAGAUACUUUUUCACCAUGAGUCCCCUAGAGUUAUCCUGGAUCCUUGCCUUGUUGAUAAUAGUAAAAUCUUCACAGUUGAUCAUUCUAUAUUAUUGUCAUUACUAUAUUCUGCAUUAUUUCAUUUGUCUUUCCAAGUUUUUUUUUUUAUGAUCAUCAUGUUUGUCAUUUCUUAAGGCCUAAUAGUAUUCCUUUAGAAUCAUAUAACAUAACUUGUUCAGCUAUUCACCAAUUGAUGGCUAUUUCUUCAGUUUCCCAGUUCUUUGCCACCACAAAAAAAGAGCUGCUAGAAAUAUUUUAGAAAAUAUAGUUCCUUUUCCUUUAUCACCUUAGGAAAUAAACCUAAUAGUGGUAUUCUUGGGUCAAAAGGUGUAUACAGUUUUAUAAUUCUUUGAGUAUAAUUCCAGAUGGUUAUCCAGAAUGAUUGAAUCAGUUCACAGUUCCACUAACAAUGGAUUGGUGUUCCUAUUUUUCCACAUCCUCUCUAGCAUUUGUCAUUUUACCCUUUUAUCAUUGUCUAUGAGGAGUCUAGUAGAUCCCAAACUUGUAGCCUAGAAAGAUUUAAACCUGAGGGAAAAGUCCUACUUCACCAGUCUCAGACUAACAACAGACCUUAAGGUAGUUUGAGUGGGAACAGCUAAUCCCAUCAGAUGUUAAGUAUCACUUUUGUCCCAGUGGUUUUUCCUCUUAAACCAAAAUCCUUUACCAAGGUGGCCAAGCCCUUGGCUGGGUCUUUCCCUUUUGUGUCCAUUGUAAAGCAUAGACCCCUCACUGUUAUUCCUGUCUAGAACUCCUCAUUUUCCUUUGUUACUAUUGUAAAGUCAAUCAACUGUCCCUCUCAUCCUCAGCUCCCUUGUUUCACCUAGAAAGGUAUUUAAUGUUCCCAACUUUAAUGGCUCCUCGGAAUUGUCCAAUCUAGCCUGGUUGGCUUUCCCAGGGGUCAGUAUCCAGAGAAACCAGAGUUUGAUCCUCGGACUCUGCUUAGGCGUGUGGUGUGCAGCUCUGGGUAGAGGCCUACUACCCUUUCCCUUGACUAAAGAGUGGUUUUCUGUCAACAUUAUUUUAGCCAAUCUGACAGGUGUGAGAUAUCUGAGUUAUUUUGAUUUGCAUUUCUCUAAUCAAUAAUGAUAUAGAGAAUUUUUCAUAUAGUUAUAUAUAGCUUUUUUCUUUAUCUAAAAAUUGUCUGUUCAUAUCUUUUUGUUGUGGGGGGCUUGAGGUGAACCCCUGAGUUGGGGAAGGGUACCCUUUUCAAGAAUGUAAGACUAAAACAACUUAAAAAUAAAAAGAUGAAUUUAUUAAUUUAGAAGGUAAUGUUGGAUCUGACCAGGAGGACAGCAUAGAUGGAAAACUGCCUCCCAAAUGACAUUAAUUCUGGGGUCUUUAUACUCUUUACAACAGUGAAGAUACCAGACCCUAUACCAUGGUGAAGACAUGAUUCUAGAGUGCUAUGCACUGAGGCAUAGGAGGUGGAGGAAAGAGGGGGAGUGGUCAUCUGAAUGGGGUCUGCCUGGAGACAUAAGGGAUGACCCUCAUAAUUUAUAUAAAAAGAUGUCUUAGAUACAAUGCUAGGAGAAUAUUCUUCUCAGGGUCUUAUCAGGAGUCACAAGAAUGUAAGGGAGCAAAGGAAUUUCCUGUUUACAGUUUGCCUAUAAUUUGGUGUACAAUGCCCAUGCCACCUCAACCAUUCAUCAAUUGGGGAAUGGGUCAUAUUCUUAUAUAGUUGUCAAAAUUCACUAUAUAUUCUAGAUAUGAGAUGUCUAAUUAAAAAACUAUCCAUGAAGUGCCCCCCCCCCACUUAUUUCUUUCCUUCUAAUUUUGGUUACAUUAAUUUUAUUUGUAGAAAAACUUUUCAAAUUAAUGUAAUCAAAUUUAUCAAUUUUACACUUCAGAAUGCAUUCUCUCUUAUUUAUUUAUCAAUUCUUCUAUUCAUAAAUCUGAUAUGCUCCCUAUUCUAAUUUGCUUAUAAUAUCUCCUUUAUACCUAGUUCAUGGAUCUGUGUUGAUCUUACUUUGGUAAAUGGCAUAAGAUAUCUAGUUUCUGCCAAACUGUUUUUCAGUUUUCUUAACAAUUUUUACCAGAUAGUGAAUUCUUAUUCCAAAAACUUGGAUCUCUCCCUUUGUCAAACACAAGGUUACUAUUAUCUAUUAUGACAGUUGUAUGUCUAUUCUGUUCCACUGAUUUACUUUUCUGUUUCUUAGCCACUAUCUGAUAGUCUUGAUAAUUACUGUUUUAAAAUAUAGUUUGGAAUCUGGUACUGCUAGACCUCCUUCCUUUAUAUUUGUUUUUAUUAUUUCCUUUGAUAUUCUGGACCUUUUGUUUUUCCAAAUGAAUUUUGUUAUUAUUUUUCUAAUUCAAUAAAAUACCUUUUUAGUAAUUUAAUUGGAAUGGCACUAAAUAAGUAGAUUAGUUGAGUCAGAAUUGUCGUUUUAAUUAUAUUGGUUCUGUCCACCCGUGAAUAAUUACUAUUUCUCCAAUUAUUUAAAUCAGCCUUUUAAUAAAAAUAUUUUAUAAUUAUGUUCACAUAGUUUCUGGAUUUGUUUUGGAAAAUAUACUUCUACAUUUUAUUCUAUCUAUGGCUAAUUUAGAUGGUAAAUCUCUUAGUAUCUCUUCUUGCCAGACUAUUAGUGAUGUGUAGAAAUAAUGAUUUAUUCUGCUACUUUGCUAAAAUUGAUAUUCAAUUGAUUUUUUAGUUUAAUCUCUUGGAUUUUCUUUAUAUCAUCAUAUCUUCUGCAAAAAGAGUUAGUUUUAUUACCUCUUUGCCCAUUCUGAUACCUUUAAUUUAUUUUUCUUCUCUUAUUGCUAUUGCUAGCAUUUCUAGGACAUCCUUGUUUUACUCCUGCUUUUAUAGGAAAGGCUUCUAACAUCCCUGUUACAGAUAAGGUUUGUUGAUGAUUUUAAAUAUCUACAUAUUGAUCUAAGGAAAAAUUAAUUUAUACCUAUGCUUUCAAAUGUUUUUAAUAGGAAUGAGUAUUGUAUUUUGUCAAAAGCUUUUUCUAUACCCUAUUAAUACAAUAAUUUUUGUUACCUUUUUGUUGAUGUAAGCAAUUAUACUAAUAGUUUUCCUUAUGUUAAACCAUCUCUGCAUAACUGGUAUAAAUCCUGUUUGGCUAUAAUGUAUAAUCUUUAUAAUAUAUUGUUUUAUUCUCCUGGCUAAUAUUUUAUUUAGAAUUUUUGCAUCUAUAUUCAUUAAUGAAAUUGGCCUAUGAUUUCAUUUCUUUAUUUUUGCUCUUCCUGGUUUAGGUAUCAGCACCAUAUUUAUUUCAUGAAAGGAGUUUGACAGGAUUCUUUCUUUACCAAUUAUUCUAAUUAAUUAAUUUAAUAUUGGAAUUAAAUUAUUUUUAAAUUUGGGGGAAAAUUCACUUAUAAAUUCAUCUGCUUCCAAAGUAUUAAUCCAUUUUACUUAAAUUAUUACAUUUGUUGACAUGUAGUUGAGAAAAAUAAUUCCUAAUAAUUGCUUUGAAUUCCUCUUCAUUAGUGGUAAAGUUGCCCUUUUAAUUUUUGAUACUGGUGAUUUGUUUUUCUUCUUUAAAAACAAAACAAUAUACAUUUUUUUUGUUUUUUUUCCAUAAGACCAGCUCUUAGAUUUACUUAGUAAUUCAAUGGUUUUCUUACAUUAAGUUUUGUAUCACCUUAGUUUGUUAGGAUUUCCAAUUUAGUAUUUAAUUGGGAAUUUUUAAUUUGGUCUUUUUUCUAAUUUUUAAAAAUUGUAUAUCCAAUUCAUUUAUUUAUUCUUUCUCUAUUUUAAAAAAAUAUAUAAAAAGCUUUUAGAGACAUAAAUUUUCUUCUAAUUACUGCUUUUUCCAUAUCCCAUAAAUUUUGUCUGUUUUCUCAUCAUUUUCUUUAAUAAAAUUUGUUUCUGUGAUUUGUUCUUUAACCCACUCAUUCUUUAAAAUUAAGUUAUUUAGUCUCUAAUUUUUAUUCUGUAAUUUCAUGGCCCUUUAUUAAAUAUAACUGUUAUAUUAUGAUCUGAAGAUGAUGCAUUUAAUAUUUCUACUUUUUGCAUUUCAUUAUAAAAUAUUUACAUCUUAAUAUAUUGUCAAUUUUUGUCAAAGAACCAUGUGCUGUUAUGAAAAAGGUAUAUUCCUUUCUAUCCUGUACAAUUAUCUCCAGAUACCUAUCAUGUCUAGCUUAUCUAAGAUUUUAUUUAUUUACCUUCUUUCUUGUUUAUUUUUUGUGGUUAGAUUUAUCCAUUCUGAGAGAGGAAGGUUUAAAUUCCCUACUAUUAUAAUUUUGUUAUCCAUUUCUACCUCUAACUUCUUUACCUUUUUUUUUUAAAUCUAGGUAGUAUAACAAUUGGUAUUUAUAUCUUUAGUAUUAAUGCUUCAUCAUAUAUGGUACCUUUGAAUAUAAUAUAGUGUCUUCGUUUAACUCUUUUAAUUAGAUUGAUUUCAGCUUUAAGUUGUCCUAACAAUGAAGUGGUUUUUUUAUUUUAUUUUUUAUUUUACAUUUUUUUAAAAACCCUUAACUUCCAUCUUGGAAUCAAUACUGUGUAUUCUUUCCAAGGCAGAAGAGUGGUAAGGGCUAGGCAAUGAGAUUUGAGUGACUUGCCCAGGGUCACAGAGCUGGGAAGUGUCUGAGGUCAAAUUUGAACCUAGGACCUCCUGUCUCUAGGCCUGACUCUCAAUCCACUGAACUACCCAGCUGCCCCCAACAAUGAAGUUUUAAUUCACUGAUGCCAUCCAUUCAACAAAUUUCUUAUUAUGUGAUAGGCUUUUAAGUGCAGGGGAGUCUUAAUUAUCUUUGUAUCUCCCCCUGGGUAUUACCAAAGUACUUAAUACAGAUUGGGCAUUUAAAAAUGAGAGUUUCAUCAACUUUUGAUUGAUCCCUUGGUCUCUGAGACUGUAGUUAUACUGAAGAUCAUAGGCAAUUAAGCAAGAAAGAACCACCCUCUCAGUAGGCUAUAAGUAGAGAAGGUGCACUGUUCCCCUGAGUGUGAUGCUACCAUUGUGAUGCUAUCAGCCUCUCUUCCUUGGACUUCCAGUAAGGAGUUGGAGGGAAUUUCUUUUUUUACCCAUUACUGUAAAGGACUGGCUUUGCAUAAAACAAGAAGCAAAGAGAUCCCACAGGGCAAUGACAGGACCAACAUUCCAAAGCUUUCAGGAUGUGAGGAAUGGAACACAGAGGAGUUGCUGGCAGUUGGUGGACUCUGGAUGAGGGAGAAGCUGCUUUUGCUCUAGCUGUCAGGAUAACCCAAAGGGUAAUAAACAUCAGAUGAGGAAUAAAACAGGGAAAGGUAUGUUCACAAAAAGUAUUUGUCACUGAUAGAAAUACUCAAGAAGAGUCCAGGCUGAAGAAAGGUACCCAAUGGAUGAUGUUUCCUCAGAUUCCACUGUCUGUGGGGCAGAUUGUAUCAAGUCCCAGAGCAUGACAAAGACUGUUGGAAAAUAUUAAAAAAUCACCCAAAGGAAUUUGGCCUGUCUAUCCACACAGUAAGUGGAUGAACAAUGUCUGUUGCUUAGAUUUCAACAUGCAUUUGGAUGAUGUUUGAAUUUAAUAUAAAUUGUAUCCCUCUUUCCUUUUAAAAAAGGUUUUAAAAAUCCAUACCAGUCUAGGUCUCAGCCCUACCUUUUGGAUGGGGUGUGCAUACAUACUAUGGGGGAAUGCCAGAGGCCUUGUGGCUCCUUGGCAUCGGGGAACAUGUUUACUUCUUGUCCCCUCUGACUCCUGGCAUCAGGAAGCCUGGUCUCUCACCCAGACUGAGGUGAAGUCUGUCCAACCAGGAAGACCCAGGAGAGACAUCAUUGGCAUUAUGAGAGGGAACUGAGGAAACUACAGGGUCUUUUUGGAAUUUUUUUGGCUUUUUGGCUCCUGGUGCUUGAUCUGGGGAUUUGAUUCAUGGGCUUUGGCUUUUUACUUUUCUGGCUUGACUUCUCUUGGCUAGAAAAUGGAGACAUGAGGUGAGACAGCAAUCUCAGAUUACCUAGGUGAUUGCUUUUCUCUCUCUCCAACCAGCUUUUACUACCUAAUAAUAUAAAUUAAUAUACAGUCUCCAGAGAAUUUUAACCCCAAAAAUUAUCUCCCAAGAGAGCUUUUUUCAUGAUAGGCAGUACAAAUGGAUAGUAAAUGGGACCCAGAAUUUUUUUAAAAAGAGGAGACCAGAAGAAUGAAAUUAUAUGAUAAGAAGAAAGAGUGGUUGGUCACAUGACAAGAGUAAGGGAUGACAGGUGUAUGGCCAAUAUUGAGAAAAAAAAAGUUAGAAAGACCUCUAGCAUGUGAGAUAAACCCCUUGUUGCAAGCUCUAGGAGAGCAAGAGUCACACUGGAUAGGCAGGUGUGAAUGGAUUGUUAUAGCUGGAAGGAACUCCAGAAUCAAUGGCCAUUUGAAUAUCUUUCUGACAUUGAGUUAGGGAUAGGAGGGGGGUAAAGUCCCUGUCCAGAGUUUAUAUUCUACUAGGAAGCAGCAAUAUCUACAUAAAUAAGUAAAAAUAGACUAUAUUUGAAGUAUUUUUUUUUUAUUGAGGGAGAACCCUAACAACUGAGAUUAGGAAGUGCCUCAAAAUAGAGAUGGUAACUGCUGAAUACUGAAAGAUGCUAAGAAGUCUAAGGCAGAGAUGAAAAGGGAGAACAUUUCAGGCAUUCUUCCUCUCCAGGCUAUACUGCUGACUCCCAUCAAUUGGUAAUUAUUUAUUAAGCCAUACUAUGUGCCAGGCACCAUGCUAAGAACUAGAGGUACAAAAAGAGUCAAAAGACAGUCCUUGCUCUCUAAGAGCUUACAAUCUAAUUGGAGAGAUGAAAUGCAAACAAACAUAUACAAAGCAAACUAAAUAUAGGAUAAAUAGGAAAUAAUUAAAAGACAGAAAACAGUGGAAUUAAGAAAGUUUGGAAAAGUUUUCCUCUAGAAGGUAGGAUUUAGUUAGAACCGAAAGAAAGGCAGGGAGAGCAGUAUAAAGAGCAGAGGAGGAAUAGCAGUUUCUGGGGUUAAGAGGUUUCUGUGGCAUAAUAAAUGAAGCCUCCUUAUGCCUCAGUCCCCAAUUUGUACUCUUUAAUUCAGUGACACUGACCUCCUGGUCAUUCCACAAACCAAGACACUAAAUAGUUUCUCAGCUCCAGGCAUUUUCUCUGUUUUUCCCCCAUAUGUCAAAUACCUGGAAGUUUGUAUUUUAUUUUAGAGGUAAUAGGUAACCUGUGAAAUCCCAUAGUUAGACUCAUAGUUUGGGAAUAUAAAUGAGACAAUUAUGCAGCAGUUGGGUUGGAGAGAGGAGACUGAAAAAUGGGUGACUACUUCUGAUUCAAACAGAGAUGUCCAACAAGCAGUGGUAUUUGAAGGCUUGAUCUUCAAUAAAGAGACUACAGCAUGUCAAUUUGAGGGUUAUCUUCAGAAAGUUGAAACAAUGAGAAAGGAUGUUGUAAAGAGAAUACCUAUAUUGAGUAAGAGAUUGGAUUAGGUGACAACUGAAGUCUUUUCCAAUUAUAAAAUUCUGUAAGAUGUCUAAGAGAAAGAAUAAAUGAGAUACUUCAAACAUCCAAGAAAUAUGAAUCCUAAACAAAUAAAUUAAACUCAUGUAUAAAAAAAGUUAUCUAAUUGAGGCCAAAGGGUCACAAGCCAGGACACUGCACUGCACAUGAGUUCAGAGUGCC